GAAUAUUGGACAAUGGGCGAAAGCCUGAUCCAGCCAUGCCGCGUGUGUGAAGAAGGUCUUCGGAUUGUAAAGCACUUUAAGUUGGGAGGAAGGAUUGUAGAUUAAUACUCUGCAAUUUUGACGUUACCGACAGAAUAAGCACCGGCUAACUCUGUGCCAGCAGCCGCGGUAAUACAGAGGGUGCAAGCGUUAAUCGGAAUUACUGGGCGUAAAGCGGGCGUAGGUGGUUCGUUAAGUUGGAUGUGAAAUCCCCGGGCUCAACCUGGGAACUGCAUCCAAAACUGCUGAGCUAGAGUACGGUAGAGGGUAGUGGAAUUUCCUGUGUAGCGGUGAAAUGCGUAGAUAUAGGAAGGAACACCAGUGGCGAAGGCGACUACCUGGACUGAUACUGACACUGAGGUGCGAAAGCGUGGGGAGCAAACAGG
rnacentral:rRNA from 1 species